rnacentral:lncRNA from 1 species
GGAGACGAAUAUGUGGACGAAUGACUUCUUCUGUCGCGACUGUCACACUUACCGAGUCUAAAUGCGUAAAGAUGUCUAGGUCUAACCACGUAAAGAUGUCUAGGUCUAACCAUGCACGUACCCUAUCGGCUAAAGUUGCUUGUUGUAUUGGUUUUAGUGGGUCUUUCUUUUUUUUAUAGCUAAGUACAUAAUUACCUAACCUAAUUACAAGAUUUGGAACCCCGUGUGGGUGCCAUGCUAAUAUACAAUCCUGAGUAUAAUUUAGAGUCCUGAAAUUUGGAGGUCCUUUACGGUCAUAAGAAAGCUUUGCCUUAGCUGAAAGAAAGAAAAAUGGUGGGCGCAAGAAAUCCUAAUUCGUGAAGUGUUUAGUAAAAUAUACAAAGUCUUUGCAUACAAAGUUGAAUUUUGGAUUUUUUUUUCUUAUGAAAGAAUAAUUUUAGGCUGACAUGAAAAAUGCAUUUUUGAUUUUCAUUGUAACUUUCACUACUCCAAUUGGCGAAAAUCGUUCUUUGCCUUUUCAAUUGACGAAAUUGGUGUAUUUUUGUCGUUCAUAAUACCGAUAAUUGAUUCACGCUAUAACCAAUUUGUAUCUAUGAUAUAUUUUUUUAUAAUUUUAUAAUUU